GACUCUCUUCAAAUAGUCUCCCUUUUGCCUUUCCUGGACCCUUAUCUUGGAUCCAGAUUCUAAGCCAAGAAAAAUAAACAUCCUAUGAAACUACCUGGCAAAUUUCUAAAUGUAUUAUUGUGAAACUGUCAUCCCUCUAGCUUGAGAGAAAUAGAAACUGGCUUCUACUCAAAGCAGACAAACUGUCUCUCUCAUCUCUGAAAACUAAAAAUCUAAAAAGAAAAAAUUAGGCUGAAUACUAGAAGGUCAGAGAGUGGCCUUUUUGUCAACUCUUCAUGGUUUUGUUAAGUGCCAUUCCAUUCUGAGCUGGCAGUUCUUAGACAUGUUUCCCUCUAGAACAUAACACUAGAGAUGCUUGGACCAUCUGUCUGUCCGACAGACCAUCUGUACAAGGCACUGGCACCCCUUCCAGAAAAUAGAAGAGAAACUGAGGACACUACAUAGGGAAAGGCUGACUUUGCAGUACCGAAAUACCUGGGUCAAGUGGUACCAGCCGUGCAGUUAGCAAAGCAGAAUUGGAUUCAUCACUGACAGCUCAGCUCAGCUACAUUGAGAGAGCCUAACGCAGCUCCCUCCAAACCUCAGAGUCUGUCACCCAGGCUGGAGUGCAAUGGCAAGAUCUCCGCUCACUGCAACCUCCGCCUCCUGGGUUCAAGGGAUUCUCCUGCCUCAGACUCCUGAGUAGCUGGGAUUACAGGGAAUAAUGACAAGAAAAGCCAUGUGCAGACUCAACCAUCGGAGACCUAACUACAUUUUCAAUCCAGGGAAUAACUAAGUCCACUUUGGAAAAAAGAAUACUAAGUGCUCACGAAGGGACCUUGUGAAUGAUAAUGUGCAAAGUUACGGAUGCUGAAAAGCCAAAGGUCAAAAGGCUGCGUCUGUUAAGAGCCUUCUUGCUGGUGGAAACUUUGAAGAGUCCCAAGAUGGCACAGGAAGCAUCUUGAAUUUUGAGAGUAAAUCAAGAAAGAAGAAGACACUGAUUCAAGAAGAGGCCACCUAACAUAACAGGUGAAUCCCAGGACCAUGAGGAAUGGGCCCCAAGAAGACAGUUCAACAGUGCUAGGGAGCACCUAUUCCA